rnacentral:rRNA from 1 species
GACGUAGGGCGCGAGCGUUGUCCGGAUUUAUUGGGCGUAAAGAGCUCGUAGGCGGCUUGUUGCGUCGACCGUGAAAACCCGUGGCUUAACUGCGGGCUUGCGGUCGAUACGGGCGGGCUGGAGUUCGGUAGGGGAGACUGGAAUUCCUGGUGUAGCGGUGAAAUGCGCAGAUAUCAGGAGGAACACCGGUGGCGAGGGCGGGUCUCUGGGCCGAUACUGACGCUGAGGAGCGAAAGCGUGGGGAGCGAACAGG